UCUAUAUUCGAGUUGCUUUAUUAUACUAAAGAAUUUGGGUAUAUGACUGUUGGUGGGUUCUACUUUAAAGACCCUAAAAAGAAAGUCUUUACUGAAGUAGAAAAUGACUUGACUUUGGUAAGUCUUGUUGAAGAUCUAGAAGAUGGGGACUUUUUAGACUUGUAUGUGAACCAUGUUGUGGAUGAGGUAGAAGUGGUAGAAGAUGGGGUCCCAUCUGAUUUUCUUUGUGGUACAGUAGGUGAUUAAAAUAGUAAGUGGUUGGUGAAAAUUAUAAUGUGGGUGAGAACAUAUCAACAGUUCAUGAUAUUAAUGUUGAAGGGUUACAUGAGGAACCUACCCAAACUGACAACAUAGAUAUAGAAUCUGGUGCAGAUGAACUCUCAGAUCUAGAAGGGGCUGAAACAGAUCUUGAUAGUAGUGCUGAUUCUCAAGAGUUUAAUAUACCAGAAGAUGAUGAUUCUAAGGUUGGUGAAGAGUUACGAACUCUUAGAAAUCAAAGGAGAAACUGUAUGAAACAAAAUAAACCUGUCCAAAAUAAAGAAAUAAAAAUUGGAUCAGCAGGUGUUGAUAGGGGAUUUAAAGAUAUUGGAAGGAAAAAGGCUGCUAGAUACAGUGGAAGAUUAGGUGGAGAUGAGGAGUAUAUAGAUAGCUCAGAAGUUGAUAGUGAUGACAGUGCUGAAGGACUGGAACCUAAAGCUGUCUAAGGAAAAGUAAAAAGGUAAGAUUUGAUCUUGAUUGUGUUGUGGCUAUAUUUGAGCUUGGUAUGAUAUUUGAAAAUGCUAAGCAAUUUAGAAAGGUUGUGGCUGAGUAUGCUAUGGAAUACAAAGUUAGAUUGAAGCUUAAGCCUAAUGAGAAACAUAGAUCUAGAGUUAGGUGUAAGGACAAGAAAUGUAAAUGAUUGUUGUUUGCUAGUAUUGAUAAGCAUUCUGGUAACUUUGUUGUCAAGCACUACUAUCUUGUACAUGUAUGCACUACUACAAAAAAAAAUUGUGCACAUCUAAGUUUAUUGCAAGCAAGUUCAAGGAUAAAAUAACUUUACAACCUUAUAUAAAACUGUGGGAAAUUUAGGAAUUGAUGAGAAAAAAAUUGAGUUUGUAUGUAGGAAAAACUGUUUGUAGCAAGAAGAAACAUGGAAUCAUUAAAGAAUUCUUGGGUGAUUGAAAGAUGAAAUUUUCAAGGUUGUGUGACUAUGCAGACAUGAUAAAAUAUACUAAUCCUAGCAGUUCUUGUUGGGUGAGGAUAGAUAGAGAGUCUCAACUUGAAAAAAAUCUAUUUGUUUAUUUUUAUUUGUGCUUUGAUGCAUUAAAGAGAGGCUGGCUGGCAGGGUGCAGAAAAAUUAUUGGGUUAGAUAGUUAUUUUUUGAAAGGUUCUUGCAAGGGUGAAUUUUUAGUUGCACUUGGGAGAAAUGAAAAUAAUCAAAUGUAUCCAAUAGCCUGGGCAGUGGUUGAUCAAGAGACAAAACAUAGCUGGAGUUUCGUCAUUAACCACUUGAUUCAAGAUUUGAACUUAGGCACUGGACAUGGACUGACUGUCAUGUCAGAUAUGCAAAAGGGUCUUGUACCUACUAUACUUGAGUUGCUACCAGAUUGUGAAAUGAGGUGGUGUGCAAGACACAUCUGAUCCAAUUGGCAUCAGAUCUGAAGAGGAGAAGAAAGAAGAAAACAAUUUUGGAGGUGUGCUAAAUUCAGUUUUGAAGUGAAGUUUUUGGAUGAGAUGGGCAAACUCAGUCAACUUGGAUGGAAUGGGACAACCUCGAAGCUCUAGCCAGGCAGCAAGUUCUAGCAGGCCACCAAGCUUCAGCCAGCCACCAAGAACUAGAAGGUCACCAAGCUUCAGCCAGCCACCAAGCUCUAGCAGGCCACCAAACUUCAGCCAACCACCAAAUUCUAGCAUGCCACAAAGUUUCAGCCAACAACCAAGCUUCAGCAGUUCUAUGUGUGUUGAUACCUCAGCAUUUAUAAGAGUGUAUCUAGCUGGAAGAAGUAUAGGUAGAGGUAGAGGUAGAGGAAAAGGAACAGCAACUUGGGGAAAAAAGGACCAUUGGAGCAUCAACAUCAUCAGUAGGACAAAAGAGGUCUAAGACAAUAGGAUUUGGUAUCUACACUGAUCAAAUGAAUGGCAGUAAAACAUUAAAU